rnacentral:lncRNA from 1 species
AAUUUUGUUCGUGGCAUUUGCUAGGAUUCCCCCCCUGUAACCCCAUCGGCUGCUAGCUCUAGCACAUCGAGAGAAAGAGGUCGAGUUCUUGGCCGACGCCUUCGGAAUCUGUAAAUUAAUCCAAACUCUUGGGUUUGUUUCUUGUUGCAACUGGCACACACAAAAAAAAGCUUCUGCUUUUCAAUAAAUGCACGAGGCUUUUCCGCCAUGAAUCCACCUCCAAACUCCCCAAAAAUUCGCCCUUUUUCUC